rnacentral:rRNA from 1 species
UACGUAGGAUGCGAGCGUUGUCCGGAAUUAUUGGGCGUAAAGCGAACGUAGGCGGUUUCUUAAGAUUGGUCUUAAAGACCGGGCUCACCCCGGGAAUGGAUCGAUAACUGGGAGACUGGAGGACGUCAGAGGAAAGUGGAAUUCCGAGUGUAGCGGUGAAAUGCGUAGAUAUUCGGAGGAACACCAGUGGCGAAAGCGGCUUCCUGGUCCAGCCACCGACGUUCAGGCACGAAAGCGUGGGAGCAAACAGG